rnacentral:misc_RNA from 1 species
UAUGAAGAACGUAGCGAAAUGCGAUAAGUAAUGUGAAUUGCAGAAUUCAGUGAAUCAUCGAAUCUUUGAACGCACAUUGCGCCCUCUGGUAUUCCGGGGGGCAUGCCUGUUCGAGCGUCAUUAUAACCACUCAAGCUCUCGCUUGGUAUUGGGGCUCGCGGUUCCGCGGCCCCUAAAAUCAGUGGCGGUGCCUGUCGGCUCUACGCGUAGUAAUACUCCUCGCGAUUGAGUCCGGUAGGUCUACUUGCCAGCAACCCCCAAUUUUUACAGGUUGACCUCGGAUCAGGUAGGGAUACCCGCUGAACUUAAGCAUAUCAAUAAGCGGAGGA